rnacentral:rRNA from 1 species
GACGAACGCUGGCGGCGUGCCUAAUACAUGCAAGUAGAACGCUGAAGAGAGGAGCUUGCUCUUCUUGGAUGAGUUGCGAACGGGUGAGUAACGCGUAGGUAACCUGCCUUGUAGCGGGGGAUAACUAUUGGAAACGAUAGCUAAUACCGCAUAACAAUGGAUGACACAUGUCAUUUAUUUGAAAGGGGCAAUUGCUCCACUACAAGAUGGACCUGCGUUGUAUUAGCUAGUAGGUGAGGUAAUGGCUCACCUAGGCGACGAUACAUAGCCGACCUGAGAGGGUGAUCGGCCACACUGGGACUGAGACACGGCCCAGACUCCUACGGGAAGCAGCAGUAGGGAAUCUUCGGCAAUGGGGGCAACCCUGACCGAGCAACGCCGCGUGUGUGAAGAAGGUUUUCGGAUCGUAAAGCUCUGUUGUAAGUCAAGAACGGGUGUGAGAGUGGAAAGUUCACACUGUGACGGUAGCUUACCAGAAAGGGACGGCUAACUACGUG